AAAUUUAAAUUUUUUUUUCUAAAACAAACCUCCCCCUCCCGUCCUUGCCCUUUCUCUCUUCCGUCAUUAAUCUCUUCUCUCUCUUUUCAAAUCCCUCCAUCGCUAAAAAAAUUCACCAAGUGCUAACAUGGUGAUACGAAAAAGUCUCAAAAUUUCACCAACUACAAUUUUUUCUCUAUAAUCCCUUUUUGGGUUUCAAUUUUGAAUUAUAGAGAAAAAAAUUGUAGUUUAGUGGAAUUUUUUUGGUGGAAUUAAGGUUGUUCAUGUUGAGAUAUGAUCGGAUAUACUGAAUUUUUUAUGUUUUUUAGUUUAUUUGUGUGAAAAUUGGUAUUUUAUGAUGAGAGGUUUUUUGAGUUUAUGUAGUUGAAAAAAAUUAAAUUUUGGAUGAAAAUUGGAGUUGGGUUUUGAUCAGAUUUGAUGAAUUUUGUUUCUUUUUCAGCGAAUGUUGGUGUUUUAUGGGAGGUUUGGAGCUGAUAUAAUUGGAAAAAUUGAAUUUGGAUAAAAAUUAGAUUGUCGUCAUCAUCGACGGCUGCAGUGGCGGUGGUGAGGUUUCUUGAAUGUCGUCCAAGAUUGAACCCUGCUGAAAUGUUUCCCGACAAAGAUGAUAAACAUGCC
rnacentral:lncRNA from 1 species